CCGCCUUGGGAAUUCCCUGAAAAAGGAAAAACAAAAACCAACGGUGGUGAUAAACUCGAUUCUCUCAUCUCAGUCGUCUCCUUUCUCUUAUCUUCUCCAGCGUCCGAUCCCUCCCACCACCUCCAUUUCCACCCGAUCUAAAUCCUUCUCGCGCGCCCAAAUUCUCCCACCAGUAGGGUUUUGGCGAGGAUGGCUGAUGGUCCGGCGAGUCCCGGCGGUGGAAGCCAUGAGAGCGGCGAGCAGAGUCCGCGGUCUAAUGUUCGUGAACAGGAUAGGUUUCUUCCGAUUGCGAAUAUUAGCCGGAUCAUGAAGAAGGCUCUCCCUGCUAAUGGGAAGAUUGCCAAGGAUGCUAAGGAGACCGUACAAGAAUGCGUCUCUGAGUUCAUCAGUUUUAUUACCAGCGAGGCUAGUGACAAAUGCCAAAGAGAGAAACGGAAGACGAUUAAUGGAGAUGAUUUGCUUUGGGCCAUGGCUACUCUUGGAUUUGAGGAUUAUAUCGAUCCGCUUAAAACCUACUUGACGAAAUACAGAGAGACGGAGGGUGACACUAAGGGGUCUGCUAAAGGUGGCGAUUCGUCAGCUAACAAAGAAGCUCAUCAUCCAAACCCUGGUGCUCAGAUUGCUCAUCAAGGGUCGUCGUUUUCCCAAGGAGUUAAUUAUGCAAGUUCUCAAUCUUCCCAGCAUCUGAUGGUCCCUAUGCAAGGCACUGACUAAAAAUUUGUUCGAUCAUUUGAACUGUUGAAUGUGAACUGUUCAGCGUAGCAGCAAAAAAUUGAGUCUAUUUAUUUGAAGUUGGGUGGUUUUGAUACCUCUAUUUGUAGAAACAGUUGAAACUUUGUAUACUACGAAUGUUUAUUGGAUUGGAGUAGGACACAGUAUUUGAUAGGAGGUUCCAAGUCCUGGGGAUCCCAUUUAUUUGUGACUUGUACCAAGGUUGUGAGGAUCUUAAAAGAAAAAAACUAAGUAGCUAGCUGCAGCACACUUUACAUCUUUUCUUUCUUAUUCCUUUUUUUUUUGUCACUUUCCUAAUCAAAACCAAUAAAUUGUGUCAGGAAUGAUUUGCUUCAAGAAGUUCUUAAAGCCCUCUCUGCUGUGGAUGAAAUUAAUGGUUGAUUGAAUCGGUUCGGAGUUUUAUUUUAGGAUAGGAAGUGAAUAGAGAGGUGUGCGAUACUACAUUUGGCUGCCAAAUUAAUUUAUAUGUCAGCUUUAAGGAUUGGAUUAAAGUAAAAUUGAGUCUGAACUUUUUUUUAA